GUUUUACGACACGCGUCACUCGUUAGAUUUGAAUUGUAUUUUCGAGGCAUUUUUAUAUUGCCGUUUAUCUCCGUAUGAUACUCGGUGUUUAUCAGCCUUCCAAGUGGCUAAAUAGGUGCCUGUGUACCCGAACUCUGUGACACAACUGGAUGUCAUUUUCUUCUUCUUUUAUGAUUCCCAAAUCAAGAUAAUGUGUAGUCUAGCUAUUUCUAGAGUUUAUUGCAGUGGUGCCCUGCGUCUCUGCCAUCUAUUAAGUCAAUUCCAACUGCCUAAUGCUGGGAAGAAGAAAAGUUUAUAUGAUAUCCUGAAAUGGAAUUGUGCUUGGACUGAGACAGCCACAUUUAUGUGUACGCCGGGAUUGUUAGGGAGCUGAGCAGGCUUUGUCCUGGGAUCCCCCAGAGCAUCCUUGAUGGCUGCAAAUUUGACUUUCUCCCUAGCCAUUUGACCAUGCAACAUAUUUAUUACAAAGGACCAGGAC